GACGAACGCUGGCGGCGUGCUUAACACAUGCAAGUCGAACGGUAAGGCCCUGCUUUUGUGGGGUGCUCGAGUGGCGAACGGGUGAGUAACACGUGAGUAACCUGCCCCUGACUUUGGGAUAACUUCAGGAAACUGGGGCUAAUACCGGAUAGGAGCUCCUGCUGCAUGGUGGGGGUUUGAAAGUUUCGGCGGUUGGGGAUGGACUCGCGGCUUAUCAGCUUGUUGGUGGGGUAGUGGCUUACCAAGGCUUUGACGGGUAGCCGGCCUGAGAGGGUGACCGGCCACAUUGGGACUGAGAUACGGCCCAGACUCCUACGGGAGGCAGCAGUGGGGAAUAUUGCACAAUGGGCGGAAGCCUGAUGCAGCAACGCCGCGUGCGGGAUGACGGCCUUCGGGUUGUAAACCGCUUUCGCCAGUGAAGAAGCGAGAGUGACGGUAAUGGGUAAAGAAGCACCGGCUAACUACGUG
rnacentral:rRNA from 1 species